UACGUAGGGUGCAAGCGUUGUCCGGAAUUAUUGGGCGUAAAGAGCUCGUAGGCGGUCUGUCGCGUCGGAUGUGAAAACCCAGGGCUCAACCCUGGGCCUGCAUUCGAUACGGGCAGACUAGAGUUCGGUAGGGGAGACUGGAAUUCCUGGUGUAGCGGUGAAAUGCGCAGAUAUCAGGAGGAACACCGGUGGCGAAGGCGGAUCUCUGGGCCUGUUCUGACGCUGAGGCGCGAAAGCUAGGGGAGCGAACAGG
rnacentral:rRNA from 1 species